rnacentral:lncRNA from 1 species
UACUUUUAUUUUUUAAGCUUAUGACAAGGACAGAGCACGUUACCUACAAUUUUGAAUUAACACAAGUGAUACCUUUAAAUUAAUAUUUUUUAUCUACAGUACAAACCAAAAACUAGAACAAAACUAAAUUAGCAAUCAUAUGAUUUCAAACAAAUUCGAUCAGAUCAAACAGUAAAUUAACAAUAAGCUUUGAAAGGGCAAGUAUUCUGCUAGCAACAAUCGCGGACAGCCAAUAGACCAAAAUAAUGGUCUCCGAGGCUAGAAUCGAUAUCCCUAAAUUCUAAAGCGGGACACAUGAGAUCAAAGAAAAGCCAGGAAUUCAAGACAUAAACAAUGAUAGACGAAUGUUGACUUAACAUAACGUAGCAAUAUAGAUAGAUGACCCUCCCUUCUAACGUGUAAUGAAUGCUCAAACAAUGGUACCGAGAUGAAUGUCA